rnacentral:rRNA from 1 species
AUCUCCUUCGGGAGUGACGCUUGUGGAACGAGCGGCGGACGGGUGAGUAACACGUGGGCAACCUACCUGUAAGACUGGGAUAACUCCGGGAAACCGGGGCUAAUACCGGAUGAAACAAAGCGUCGCAUGACGCAAUGUUAAAAGGCGGCAUAUGCUGUCACUUACAGAUGGGCCCGCGGCGCAUUAGCUAGUUGGUGAGGUAAAGGCUCACCAAGGCAACGAUGCGUAGCCGACCUGAGAGGGUGAUCGGCCACACUGGGACUGAGACACGGCCCAGACUCCUACGGGAGGCAGCAGUAGGGAAUCUUCCGCAAUGGACGAAAGUCUGACGGAGCAACGCCGCGUGAGUGAUGAAGGUUUUCGGAUCGUAAAACUCUGUUGUUAGGGAAGAACAAGUGCCAUUCGAAUAGGUUGGCACCUUGACGGUACCUAACCAGAAAGCCCCGGCUAACUACGUGCCAGCAGCCGCGGUAAUACGUAGGGGGCAAGCGUUGUCCGGAAUUAUUGGGCGUAAAGCGCGCGCAGGCGGUCCUUUAAGUCUGAUGUGAAAGCCCACGGCUUAACCGUGGAGGGCCAUUGGAAACUGGAGGACUUGAGUACAGAAGAGGAGAGUGGAAUUCCACGUGUAGCGGUGAAAUGCGUAGAGAUGUGGAGGAACACCAG